UACGUAGGGGGCAAGCGUUGUCCGGAAUCAUUGGGCGUAAAGCGCGUGUAGGCGGCCAGAAAAGUCCGCUGUGAAAACUCGAGGCUCAACUUCGAGCUGUCGGUGGAAACUUUCUGGCUAGAGUCCGGAAGAGGAGAAUGGAAUUCCUGGUGUAGCGGUGAAAUGCGCAGAUAUCAGGAAGAACACCCGUGGCGAAGGCGGUUCUCUGGGACGGUACUGACGCUGAGACGCGAAAGCGUGGGAGCGAACAGG
rnacentral:rRNA from 1 species